GCCAGCAGCCGCGGUAAUACGUAGGAGGCUAACGUUAUCCGGAUUUACUGGGCGUAAAGCGCGUGCAGGCGGUUCGUUAAGUUGGACGUGAAAGCUCCCGGCUCAACUGGGAGAGGUCGUUCAAUACUGGCGGACUUGAGGAUGGUAGAGGGAGGUGGAAUUCCGGGUGUAGUGGUGAAAUGCGCAGAUAUCCGGAGGAACACCAGUGGCGAAAGCGGCCUCCUGGACCAUUCCUGACGCUCAGACGCGAAAGCUAGGGUAGCGAACGGGAUUAGAGACCCCGGUAGUCCUAGCUGUAAACGAUGUGAACUUGGCGUCGGUGGGAUUAAAUCCAUCGGUGUCGAAGCUAACGCGAUAAGUUCACCGCCUGAGGACUACGGCCGCCAGGUUAAAACUCAAAGGAAUUGACGGGGACC
rnacentral:rRNA from 1 species